AGUUUGCGGUUGCAGUGCAGUAUGGCGUAUAUGCCCGUAGCGCCAGGCAAAAAAAAACACUGACUAAUUUAUAUUUUAUAAGAACGU